AGCAGUGAGGAAUAUUGGUCAAUGGGCGUAAGCCUGAACCAGCCAAGUCGCGUGAGGGAUGAAGGUUCUAUGGAUCGUAAACCUCUUUUUAUAAGGGAAUAAAGUGCGGGACGUGUCCCGUUUUGUAUGUACCUUAUGAAUAAGGAUCGGCUAACUCCGUGCCAGCAGCCGCGGUAAUACGGAGGAUUCGAGCGUUAUCCGGAUUUAUUGGGUUUAAAGGGUGCGUAGGCGGCCUUUUAAGUCAGCGGUGAAAGUCUGUGGCUCAACCAUAGAAUUGCCGUUGAAACUGGGGGGCUUGAGUAUGUUUGAGGCAGGCGGAAUGCGUGGUGUAGCGGUGAAAUGCUUAGAUAUCACGCAGAACCCCGAUUGCGAAGGCAGCCUGCCAAGCCAUGACUGACGCUGAUGCACGAAAGCGUGGGGAUCAAACAGGAUUAGAUACCCUGGUAGUCCACGCAGUAAACGAUGAUCACUAGCUGUUUGCGAUACAGUGUAAGCGGCACAGCGAAAGCGUUAAGUGAUCCACCUGGGGAGUACGCCGGCAACGGUGAAACUCAAAGGAAUUGACGGGGGCCCGCACAAGCGGAGGAACAUGUGGUUUAAUUCGAUGAUACGCGAGGAACCUUACCCGGGUUUGAACGCAUUCGGACCGAGGUGGAAACACCUUUUCUAGCAAUAGCCGUUUGCGAGGUGCUGCAUGGUUGUCGUCAGCUCGUGCCGUGAGGUGUCGGCUUAAGUGCCAUAACGAGCGCAACCCUUGCCACUAGUUACUAACAGGUGAUGCUGAGGACUCUGGUGGGACUGCCAGCGUAAGCUGCGAGGAAGGCGGGGAUGACGUCAAAUCAGCACGGCCCUUACAUCCGGGGCGACACACGUGUUACAAUGGCGUGGACAAAGGGAAGCCACCUGGCGACAGGGAGCGAAUCCCCAAACCACGUCUCAGUUCGGAUCGGAGUCUGCAACCCGACUCCGUGAAGCUGGAUUCGCUAGUAAUCGCGCAUCAGCCAUGGCGCGGUGAAUACGUUCCCGGGCCUUGUACACACCGAAGGGCGAAUUCCAGCACACUGGCGGCCGUUACUAG
rnacentral:rRNA from 1 species